ACCGGAACUGAGACACGGUCCGGACUCCUACGGGAGGCAGCAGUGGGGAAUAUUGGACAAUGGGCGCAAGCCUGAUCCAGCGACGCCGCGUGGGUGAAGAAGGCCUGCGGGUUGUAAAGCCCUUUCGGUAGGGACGAAAACUCUCGACUUAACACGUCGAGGGAUUGACUUAACCUACAUAAGAAGCACCGGCUAACUCUGUGCCAGCAGCCGCGGUAAUACAGAGGGUGCGAGCGUUAAUCGGAAUUACUGGGCGUAAAGCGCACGUAGUCGGCUUUGCAAGUCGGUUGUGAAAUCCCCGGGCUCAACCUGGGAACUGCAUCCGAGACUGCAUUGCUAGAGUAUGGGAGAGGAAAGCGGAAUUUCUGGUGUAGCAGUGAAAUGCGUAGAUAUCAGAAGGAACAUCAGUGGCGAAGGCGGCUUUCUGGACCAAUACUGACGAUCAGGUGCGAAAGCGUGGGGAGCAAACAGGAUUAGAUACCCUGGUAGUCCACGCCCUAAACGAUGACAACUGGAUGUCGGGAGGGUUUGCCUUCCGGUGUCGUAGCUAACGCGUUAAGUUGUCCGCCUGGGAAGUACGGCCGCAAGGUUGAA
rnacentral:rRNA from 1 species